rnacentral:tRNA from 1 species
GGUAGCGUGGCCGAGCGGUCUAAGGCGCUGGUUUAAGGCACCAAUCUCUUCGGGGGCGUGGGUUCGAAUCCCACCGCUGCCA